rnacentral:misc_RNA from 1 species
GAAAUGCGAUACGUAGUGUGAAUUGCAGAAUUCAGUGAACCAUCGAAUCUUUGAACGCACCUUGCGGCCGCCGGUAAUCCGGCGGCCAUGCCCGUCCGAGCGUCGUUUCGACACUCGGGGCCCCCCCCCACUAACCUGGGGGGCGCCCCGGCAUUGGGCCAGCGCGGAGUCGCCCCUCGGGGCGCCGCGCGGCCCGCAGUCCAGCGGCGGCAGCACCGGAGAGUACCCCUGCGCAGUAUCUUACGCUCGCAUUGGUCCCCCGGCGCGGCCCGCCUCGAAACCCCAUAUUCUAAAUGUCGACCUCGGAUCGGGUAGGGAUACCCGCUAAACUUAA